GGGGAUUUAGCUCAGUGGUAGAGCGCUUGCCUAGCAAGCGCGAGGCCCUGGGUUCAGUCCCCAGCUCCG
rfam:Rattus norvegicus chromosome 5, whole genome shotgun sequence.